GGCUGGUCCGAGUACAGUGGUGUUUACAACUAAUUGAUCACAACCAGUUACAGAUUUCUUUGUUCCUUCUCCACUCCCACUACUUCACUUGACUAGUCUUAA
ensembl:Y_RNA Y_RNA Y RNA